GACCCAAAUUUUGAGUAGAGCAGAUUAGAAGGAUCAUAUGACCCUACUAAACUACUCUACUCCGAGUUUGUGCCC
rfam:Haemonchus placei strain MHpl1 genome assembly, scaffold: HPLM_contig0007787